rnacentral:rRNA from 1 species
AGCAGCCGCGGUAAUUCCAGCUCCAAUAGCGUAUAUUAAAGUUGUUGCAGUUAAAAAGCUCGUAGUUGAAUUUCGGGGUUAGUAGUUUGGUCGUGCCAAUGGUAUGUACUGGGCUCACUGAUUCCUCCUUCCUGAUGAACUGUAAUGCCAUUAAUUUGGUGUUGCAGGGAAACUGGACUGUUACUUUGAAAAAAUUAGAGUGUUUAAAGCAAGCUAACGCUUGAAUACAUUAGCAUGGAAUAAUGAAAUAGGACGUUCGAUCCUAUUUUGUUGGUUUCUAGGAUUGACGUAAUGAUUAAUAGGGAUAGUUGGGGGCAUUAGUAUUCAAUUGUCAGAGGUGAAAUUCUUGGAUUUAUUGAAGACUAACUACUGCGAAAGCAUUUGCCAAGGAUGUUUUCAUUAAUCAAGAACGAAAGUUAGGGGAUCGAAGACGAUCAGAUACCGUCGUAGUCUUAACCAUAAACUAUGCCGACUAGGGAUCGGAUGAUGUUAAUUUUUAAUGA